GUGCUCACUUUGGCAGCACAUAUACUGAAA
rnacentral:snRNA from 1 species